UUAAGUUCAGCGGGUAUCCCUACCUGAUCCGAGGUCAAGCGUAAAGGUAUAGGCUUGUGGACGCCGCCGCACCCAGCGGAGAGCGCAAAAUGUGCUGCGCUCCCACGCGGGACGGCUGGCUGCCAAUGCAUUUGAGGCGAGUUCACGCGCGCGGCGGAACAAACGCCCAACACACAAGCCGUGCUUGAGGGCAGCAAUGA
rnacentral:misc_RNA from 1 species